ACAGCCAUAUCACGUUAAACCACCGUUUCUCGUACGAUCAUCGAUGUUAAGCAACAUCGAGUCUGAUCAGUAACUAGAUGGGUGAUUGCUUGGGAAUACCAGGU